ensembl:lncRNA
GAACGUCGUGUCGUCAUGCUCGAUACAUUUGACGCCGCGGUGACCGUGACGGAGUCAGGAAACAAGCCAAGCCGAGCCGAGCCGAGCCGAGCCGCGCAGCGGCUGCAUUACCGCACAGACCGCAGCCUUUUACCUGAAGAUGGAAGCACACCCGGGGAAGACGUCCGCUGUCAGGGCGAACCACCGAGACGGAUAAAAGGCGCAGAGCUCCGGCCGUUAGGGGGGAGGGGGGGCGGAGCUGGUGUGGGUGUCACGCCGCGUGCGUGCAGGUAAACCGCCGCAGGCAGCCAGAUAGCUUAGCACCAGACGCUAACGUAACCAGCGGGGCGAGUUGGGGUCGGAUGAACUGUUGUCAGACCCGAACGCCCAGCGUGGAUAUUUUUAAUCGAGCGAAUAUUUAACUGUCAUCGCAAAGGACCCGCAAAGCCUCCUUUUUAUUGUUUUCUUGUAUUAUUUUGUUUUGCCCUCGAGGAUAUUGUCGCGGCUGCCGGUGGCGGCAGCUUGAUUGACAGCCCGUCUCAGCGGGUCCUCCAGAUGUGACAGUGACGCUCGGGCGCUUCAUAAGUCAGCCGGCCGCAGGAGCGGCUGCCCGCCGCGAAUGGCUGCCCGUCUGGAAGUCCCGGGCGGACUCUUAGCUCGACCGAACCGCGUCAACGCGCGACCAACGUCCUUCUGGCAGCGAGGCGCCGCCGCCGCCGCCGAAGCGGACACGUUGCUGGCCCGCUAACCGACCGACGUGACACCGAGAGGCGUGACCCGCGCCGCCGCUGCUGUUAAUUAACAUUACUUCACAGUUUAAGUCAUGAAGAGGACGGAGAAUAAGAACAAGAGGAAGCUCUUGGAGCACCAGGACAGCGGCGCAGCGGAGAAAGAUGCGAUUGCGGACCUCCGAUGGAUGUUAAGCUGCUACGAUUGAAGCCGGAUGGAAUCUGAGCCUUGCAUGGAGAGAGUUUGGAGGAUCCAACAGCAACAAUCAAAGCGGGUUCAAUCCUAAAUACCAUCCAUGAACAAACACUGCGUAUUCUAGUCAUAGUGGUCUCUAACUGUAUAGAGAAGCCUUAACAGGGAAAAAUAAAUAUAUUUCACUUUUUUUCAGCUUGUGAAAUGAGGUCAACCAAUCAGAAUCCAGCGCUCCAACCGCUCUGUUCUGCAGGUGUUGUCGGGGGCUUUUUAGCUGCUGGUCCUCUCCUCCCCUCUUUGCCAUAAUGGGAGAGUGAAGGUCCAAGGCUGCGGGAUAAUGGCGGCGUCUCAAUAACUCGCCACCCCAUGUUUACAC